rnacentral:rRNA from 1 species
CCUACGGGAGGCAGCAGUGAGGAAUAUUGGUCAAUGGGCGUGAGUCUGAACCAGCCAAGUCGCGUGAGGGAUGAAGGUCCUAUGGAUUGUAAACUUCUUUUAUAAGGGAAUAAAGCGUGGGACGUGUGCUGUUUUGUAUGUACCAUAUGAAUAAGGAUCGGCUAACUCCGUGCCAGCAGCCGCGGUAAUACGGAGGAUCCGAGCGUUAUCCGGAUUUAUUGGGUUUAAAGGGUGCGUAGGUGGGUUUUUAAGUCAGCUGUGAAAGUCUGCGGCUCAACCCUCGAAUUGCAGUUGAAACUGGGAGGCUUGAGUAUGAUUGAGGCAGGCGGAAGGCGUGGUGUAGCGGUGAAAUGCUUAGAUAUCACGCAGAACCCCGAUUGCGAAGGCAGCUUGCC